rnacentral:pre_miRNA from 1 species
AGCAUAGCCGAGAACCAUUCGCGCUGCACAUUCAACACGAGCGGUUGAAUUGAGCCGCAAUGGUUUUCGGUCUCGGAGC